GCAUUGACAGUUUUACGUAAUGUUUCUCGUGACCUUCAACCAAAUUCAUAGGAAAUGAUACUGGCGGAUACUGUUACUCGACGGUUGACCGGACACAAGGCGCCAGAAUUUUCUGGCUCUGCUCGAUGCAGUUCGAUUCUUGAUGCAACAUUAUUCUGGUGGAACCUGUUGAAAGGAAAAGAACAAGAAAUUAAAUAGGGAGAAACACAAAUCAACAACCAAAAGUGAUCAAUAUCUCUUCAGGGAUACAUUUGGCCCACUCAUUUUUUUGUAUCAAAGACACAGUAAUUUCUGUAAUAACAGAAAUUGAAAUCGAGAAAAGUUUCAUCAAUAUUGUUAAGAUGUAUAUUUACCAUUUCA